GACGAACGCUGGCGGCGUGCUUAACACAUGCAAGUCGAACGGAAAGGCCCUGCUUUUUUGGGGUGCUCGAGUGGCGAACGGGUGAGUAACACGUGAGUAACCUGCCCUUGACUUUGGGAUAACUUCAUGAAACUGGGGCUAAUACCGGAUAGGAUCUCCUGCUGCAUGGUGGGGGUUGGAAAGUUUCGGCGGUUGGUGAUGGACUCGCGGCUUAUCAGCUUGUUGGUGGGGUAGUGGCUUACCAAGGCUUUGACGGGUAGCCGGCCUGAGAGGGUGACCGGCCACAUUGGGACUGAGAUACGGCCCAGACUCAGACGGGAGGCAGCAGUGGGGAAUAUUGCACAAUGGGCGGAAGCCGGAUGCAGCAACGCCGCGUGCGGGAUGACGGCAUUCGGGUUGGAAACAGAUUUCGCCUGUGACGAAGCGUGAGUGACGGUAAUGGGGAAAGAAGCACCGGCUAACUACGU
rnacentral:rRNA from 1 species